rnacentral:rRNA from 1 species
UACGGAGGGUGCGAGCGUUGUCCGGAAUCACUGGGCGUAAAGGGCGCGUAGGCGGCUCGUGAAGUCAGUGGUGAAAGCCCAGGGCUCAACUCUGGGUCGGCCACUGAUACUCGCGAGCUCGAGUUUGGUAGAGGCAGAUGGAAUUCCGGUGGAGCGGUGAAAUGCGUAGAGAUCGGAAAGAACACCAACGGCGAAAGCACUCUGCUGGGCCGACACUGACACUGAGAGACGAAAGCUAGGGGAGCGAAUGGG